rnacentral:rRNA from 1 species
GACGAACGUUGGCGGCGUGCCUAAUACAUGCCAGUCGAGCGAAGUUUUUCUGGUGCUUGCACUAGAAAAACUUAGCGGCGAACGGGUGAGUAACACGUAAAGAACCUGCCUCAUAGACUGGGACAACUAUUGGAAACGAUAGCUAAUACCGGAUAACAGUAUUUCUCGCAUGAGAGAUAUUUAAAAGUUGGUUAUGCUAACACUAUGAGAUGGCUUUGCGGUGCAUUAGCUAGUUGGUGGGGUAAAGGCCCACCAAGGCGACGAUGCAUAGCCGACCUGAGAGGGUGAUCGGCCACACUGGGACUGAGACACGGCCCAGACUCCUACGGGAGGCAGCAGUAGGGAAUCUUCCGCAAUGGGCGAAAGCCUGACGGAGCAACGCCGCGUGAGUGAAGAAGGAUUUCGGUUCGUAAAGCUCUGUUGUUAGGGAAGAAUGGAUAUGUAGUAACUAUACAUGUAAGAGACGGUACCUAACCAGAAAGCCACGGCUAACUACGUG